GACGAACGCUGGCGGCGUGCCUAACACAUGCAAGUCGAGCGGUCUGAGCGCGAGGUGAAAGGGGUAAAACCUGGACACGGAGUGAGCAGAUAGCGGCGGACGGGUGAGUAACACGUAGGUAACCUGCCCUGCACAGCGGGAUAACACUGGGAAACUGGUGCUAAUACCGCAUGAGAUAUACGAUGCCAAGGCGUUGUAUAUUAAAGGGUGAACGAAAAGGGAGCCUGGUGCAGGAUGGGCCUGCGUCCGAUUAGCUAGUUGGUGGGGUAAAGGCCUACCAAGGCGACGAUCGGUAGCCGGACUGAGAGGUUGGCCGGCCACAUUGGGACUGAGACACGGCCCAGACUCCUACGGGAGGCAGCAGUGGGAAUAUUGCGCAAUGGGGGAACCCUGACGCAGCGACGCCGCGUGAAGGAGAAGGCCUUCGGGUUGUAAACUUCUUUGACCGGGACGAAGGAAGUGACGGUACCGGGAACAAGCCACGGCUAACUACGUGCCAGCAGCCGCGGUAAUAGUA
rnacentral:rRNA from 1 species